AGUGAACGCUGGCGGUAGGCCUAACACAUGCAAGUCGAACGGCAGCACAGUAAGAGCUUGCUCUUACGGGUGGCGAGUGGCGGACGGGUGAGGAAUACAUCGGAAUCUACUUUUUCGUGGGGGGUAACGUAGGGAAACUUACGCUAAUACCGCAUACGACCUACGGGUGAAAGCAGGGGAUCUUCGGACCUUGCGCGAUUGAAUGAGCCGAUGUCGGAUUAGCUAGUUGGCGGGGUAAAGGCCCACCAAGGCGACGAUCCGUAGCUGGUCUGAGAGGAUGAUCAGCCACACUGGAACUGAGACACGGUCCAGACUCCUACGGGAGGCAGCAGUGGGGAAUAUUGGACAAUGGGUGCAAGCCUGAUCCAGCCAUACCGCGUGGGUGAAGAAGGCCUUCGGGUUGUAAAGCCCUUUUGUUGGGAAAGAAAAGCAGCAGGUUAAUACCCCGCUGUUCUGACGGUACCCAAAGAAUAAGCACCGGCUAACUUCGUG
rnacentral:rRNA from 1 species